rnacentral:rRNA from 1 species
AGCGCGGGUGCGAGUCGGAGGGUGCAAGCCCGUGGGCGAAGUGAAAGCGAGUUUAAAAACGAGCAGUUUGGGGCGGCAUAAGAUCGUUGAUCUUAAGACCGACCCAGAGCAGUUGCGCUGGGACCCGAAAGAUGGUGAACUAUGCCGGAGUAGGGCAAAGCCAGAGGAAACUCUGGUGGAGGCUCGUAGCGGUGCUGACGUGCAAAUCGCUCGUCGAACUUGGGUAUAGGGGCGAAAGACUAAUCGAACCAUCUAGUAGCUGGUUCCCUCCGAAGUUUCUCUCAGGAUAGCGGGCCGACAAGUUGUUUUGUGCGGUAAAGCGAAUGAUUAGCGCAUUCGGGGGCGUUUAGCCUUCGGGCGAUUCUCAAACUUUCAAUGCGCAAGGGUGCCGCUGCUUAAUUGAGCGGUACCGGUAAAAACGUCGGCCCUGUGGGCCACUUUUGGUAAGCAGAACUGGCGAUACGGGAUGAACCGUAAGCAAGGUUAAGGCGCCAAACUGCCCGCUUAUAGACCCCACAAAAGGUGUUGAUUCAUCGAGACAGCAGGACGGUGGCCAUGGAAGUCGGAAUCCGCCAAGGAGUGUGUAACAACUCACCUGCCGAAUGAAUUAGCCCUGAAAAUGGAUGGCGCUGAAGCGGGCGGCCGACACCUUGCCGUCUGAACAAGAAUUUCAGAUGAGUAGGAGGGCGUGGCGGCCGUGUCGAAGCACGCGUGCAGACGCUUGUGGAACGGCCGCUAGUGCAGAUCUUGGUGGUAGUAGCAAGUAUUCAAGCGAGAUCCUUGAAGGGCGAAGUGGGGAAGGGUUUCACGCGAACAUUGAUUGGGCGUGAGUGAGUCGUUCCUAAGCCGAGUGGCAAUUGCUAAUUAACGGCGAAAGGGAAGCGGGUUGACAUUCCCGCACACGGAUGUGGAGGCGGCGACGCAUUAUUGGGGCGAACACGCUGGCGAUGGCGCUGGGCAGAGUUGUCUUUUCUGUUUGACCGCUUGCGCACGCAGUGUGGAAUCCUCUUAUAGGGAGAAACACGCGUGUACGGGCAGAGCGCUGGGGCUUUUCCAGCGUCCAGCUCGCCAUCGACGGCCCUUGAAACUUUGCCUCCUG